UAUUAACCAAAACUACCUAGUUUUGUAUCAAUUUUUUCAAAAACUAUGCCUUUUUGUUAAUCCUAAUUCGUGUUUUUAUGUUUUGCAGGAAAUGAUUAAUAGAGACUGAAUCAAAUGAAGAAUCUUCAGAGUUAAAUGCAUAGGAAGAAAAUAUAAAUAUAGCCAAUUAAUGCACAUGACAUUAGGAGAAACAGUAAUAAAUUUUGAAAUUGGUAUAAAGGAGAGGUCACACGUCAGAGAAGAUACAGUAUGUUGAGAAAAGUUGAGAACAAACUACUUUGUUUGAAGUGGAAUCACAGUGGUCAAGACUUCAUCUUUGAAUAAAGUUAAUUGUAUUAGAAGUGAAGCCUUAACAGUCAUGAGACAAUAAUUAAUAUUUAAUUGUUAUUUCAAAGACUUUGUGGAUGUGAUUUGACGCAUUUGUAUGACUUGAAUGUUGCAUUUUUCAUAUGAAGACUUACAAGGCAAAGAAUUGGAUGUGACUAAAUUUUGUAUGCAUUUAAAGACUUGAAGAACUUGUGCUGUCUUCUUCAGAUUUCAGGAGAAUUAAUGUUUAAGACAGUAAAUUAUUUGUAUGAAAAGAAGAAUAAUUAUGUGCUCAUUAAAUGAAUCAUAAAAAUA